rnacentral:rRNA from 1 species
AUGCAUUGGUUUGCACGGUGGAGGUUGUGCAUUCCGAAGAAGGAAGGGGGACUUGGGUUUAGAGACUUGCACAGUUUUAAUCUUGCGAUGUUAGCAAAAUAAUGCUAGCGACUAAUCCAGAACUCGGACUCUUUUUGUGCACAAGUGUUGAGGGAAAAAUACUAUCCAUAUGGCGAUAUUUUGAGAGUUGGCCCAAAGAAAGGAUCAUCUUACACAUGCCAAAGCAUUAUUGCGGGUAUCCAGACAUUUAAGAGGGGUUGCAUUUGGCGUGUUGGAACAAGGUCAAAAAUUGACAUAUGGCAAGAUACAUUGAUUCCAUCGAGUGUGUCAAGAAGAGUUAUCACAGAUAGGGGUGCAACAAUGCUCUCGAAGAUGGAAAUAAUAAAUCCUUACACAGGACCGUGGCAUGAGGAUCUUAUUCAUGAUGUUUUCUCACCUGUUGAUGUCUAUAGGAUCCUACAAAUUUGUUUGAAUGCUCAUAUGAGAGAAGAUAUUGUAGCUUGGAAUUAUACACGAUCAUGCACUUUUUCUGUACGGUCUGCUUAUCAUAAGGAGUUCGAGUAUCAACAUGGAACACGUCUGAUGAGAGCUGAUGGUCAAGGUAGAGAACAAGUUAAUUCUGUUUGGAAGGGUAUGUGGAGGCUGAAAAUACCAGGAAAGAUUAAGCAUUUCGCAUAGAUGGUUUUGCACGGCGCACUCCCAUGCUUGGGGGUACUAGUAAACCGACACAUUCCCUACUCACCUCAAUGCUCGGUGUGUUCGAUCGGAGAUGAAGACACCCAACACUAUUUGUUUAAAUGUCGACGAGCAAUGGAAGUUUGGGAUCAGUUGGGCUUGUUGUAA